ACGGGAGGCAGCAGUGAGGAAUAUUGGUCAAUGGGCGGAAGCCUGAACCAGCCAAGUCGCGUGAAGGAUGAAGGUAUUAUGUAUUGUAAACUUCUUUAGCUGUGGAGCAAUAAUCGCCAUGCAUGGCGAGAUGAGAGUACACAGAGAAUAAGGAUCGGCUAACUCCGUGCCAGCAGCCGCGGUAAUACGGAGGAUCCGAGCGUUAUCCGGAUUUAUUGGGUUUAAAGGGAGCGUAGGCGGGCCUUUAAGUCAGUGGUCAAAGCGUGUGGCUCAACCAUACCACGCCGUUGAUACUGGAGGCCUUGAGUGCACAUAAGGAUGGUGGAAUUCAUGGUGUAGCGGUGAAAUGCUUAGAUAUCAUGAAGAACUCCGAUUGCGAAGGCAGCUGUCCGGGGUGUAACUGACGCUAAUGCUCGAAAGUGCGGGUAUCAAACAGGAUUAGAUACCCUGGUA
rnacentral:rRNA from 1 species